GCUGCUCUACUGAGCGUUAUUGGACUGUUAUUAAUUUUGAAAUACCCGAGGAUUUUCGCUCAUUUUGAAUAGUCUUUGUCGUGGGUACUGAUCGGUCGUUUGGCGCUAUCAACGCUCGCUCAACUAUUGACCUGUUCGAAAUUUGUUCUUUUUUUUUUUGCUUCCCGAAUAUUCAAUUCUAUAAAUUGUGAAAUUCAAAAUAAAUUCGUAUAAGAGAAAACGCUGCUAGAAAGGUGUAGUGAAAGACGGGGCCUAUUGGGCUGAUUAAAGUGUGGUGAUUUUAGUGUUGACAGAGACAACAAAUACCAAAAAAAAAAAUACAAAAAAAAAGCAAAACAAGUGAAAAAAGCAAUAUAAUAACAACAAGUUAGUGAUUUAAAUCAAAAGUGUCUGGAAAUUUUUUUCAAAAACAUUGCAACAACAACAUGUACCCUAAUCAGAAUUCGUGGCUAGCCUUCGUCGAAGAAGCGUACUCCCUCUUCGAUGAUAAUUCGGAUAAACUGUUGAAUAACCUAUGUACCGAGUGUCUGGAGUAUGAGUGUGAACAUCGAAACAACAACAACAACAAUGCGCAAGCAUCAAAUCAAGCAAAUUUACAUGAACAACAAUUGGAAUUCGCCGCUGAAAAUUCGACGCAAUUACAUGAUAAAUCAUUGUAUACCAAUAUGGAUCCUAAUCAGUACUAUGCACGAGUGCCGUCGGAACUACAACAACAAGAGCAAAAUGUAACUUUUGCUGAUUACGGAUUUCGCAGCUCUUGCCAUGGCACUGACGGCGGCAGCGGUGGCGGGUGCCACAAAGGCGAUUGCGCUCUAGAGCAAAAUCAGCCGCAGCAAGCGCAAGCGAUGACGCAGCAUAACAUUCAGCAACAACAGCCAGCGCAUAUUACGAUGCCGCCACAGAUGCAACAUACAACGCAGCCACGCAGUUAUGGCUACCAACGUGAGAACCCAACGUACGGUGUAACUGUACAUCCACCACGUAAUUAUCCAGCACUAGAGGUAGUACCGGGCAUAACGUAUCCAAUCAGUCAAACUAUGCCUCCAAAUGCAUACAACAACAAUAUUCAACAGCAACAACAACAACAGUUAACAAUGCAACAACAGCAACCACCAAUGCAACAACAGCAGCUACCAAUGCAACAACAGCAACUUCCAAUGCAACAACAGGAGCUACCAAUGCAACAACAACAACAACAUACCAUGCCGCUAUUCCAGCAACAACCAUACCCGUUGCCACAGCAACAACUGCGGCCGCCACAGUUCAUACAGACUCCAUAUCAACCCAGUCAACAAUUGCAAAGGCCUGUAGGCUAUCAGCCCCAACAAUAUCCACAACCGCUUUAUCAACAACAAAAUACGAGCACACAUGUCAAUUACGCCAAUCAAAUGCCACCGGUGCAGCAGCCCGCCUAUCCCAUGCAAAACUACAGAAAUGGCGGUUAUACGACGCCAAUGCCGGAGCGUUCUGGAGCUUGCUGCCGUCAGCAGGCACCGAUCGGUGCACCCGGUGUGAAUGUGCAGCGCCAGUUGGGGCAUGCACCUUGCCGCGGCAAUGCUCCGUGGUCAUAUUCAUAUUGCUACGGCGAUGUCCAGAACAAUUAUGAACCCUGUCACUUCAUCAACUGCGUGGACAUUGAGGACUUUCUAAAUAAUGAAAAGCGUAAGGAAAAAUCUCGCGAUGCGGCCAGAUGCCGGCGUUCACGCGAAACGGAGAUCUUCAGCGAGUUGGCACAGAUUUUACCAUUGCGCAAAGAGGACGUUAACCAAUUGGACAAAGCAUCUAUAAUGCGCAUCGCCAUAGCUUUCCUGAAAGUACGCGAAAUGCUGCAGUUGUUCCCGAAAAUUCGAGACCUACUUGAAGAUAUAAAACUAGACAAUGAUAUUGAAGAUAACUCCAAUAGUUCAACACAAAUGUCCGUUUCAACAACGGAAAACACCGAUGGAAAAUUUGAUUUGCUCAAGUGUGCCGAGGCAACACAAUUUAUCAAACAGACCUUGGACGGUUUUCUGAUGAUCCUCUCCAAUGAUGGCGACAUUACUUAUGUUUCAGACAACAUAACUGAUUAUUUAGGCUUAGCAAAGAUUGACAUACUCGGCCAACAAAUUUGGGAGUACAGCCACCAAUGUGAUCAUGCCGAACUCAAAGAGGCGCUAAACAUCAAACGCAACCGUCUGCCCGAUAAGAUUAAAGAUGAGAAUAUGAUCGAAGAGGGCAUUACGACCGAGCAUCGUGAUCUUUUCGUGCGUCUCAAAUGCACAUUGACCAGCCGUGGACGUAGUAUCAAUAUCAAAAGCGCUUCCUACAAGGUUAUACACAUAACUGGUCACUUGGUGGUUAACAUGAAAGAUGAUCGUGUACUGGUCGCCAUCGGUCGCCCAAUACCGCAUCCCUCCAAUAUAGAAAUUCCAUUGGGCACUACAACAUUCUUGACAAAACACUCUUUGGAUAUGAAAUUUACAUAUGUGGAUGAGAAAAUGCAAAAUCUCUUCGGUUACAAGGCCGAAGAUCUACUUGAGCAAUCACUGUUUGCCUGCCAUCAUGGCGGUGAUUCGAACAGGCUAAUGGCAACAUUCAAAACCGUGUUGAGCAAGGGCCAAGGUGAGACUUGUCGCUACAGAUUCCUGGGUAAAUACGGCGGUUACUGUUGGAUCGUGACACAAGCCACAAUUGUUUAUGAUAAAUUGAAACCACAAAGUGUUGUUUGCGUUAAUUAUGUCAUAAGCAAUCUUGAGAACAACAAUGAGAUUUAUUCACUUGCACAAUACGAGGCAAGCAAGCUUAAAGUUGAGGCAAGCGACAGCGAAAGCGAUCAAAGCAACAUUGGCGAUAGCUGUGGCAACAACAAUCUCACAGAGAAUAUCAACGAUAACAGCAACAACUCCAACAACAACAACAACGACAAUUCAACUGACGACUAUAAACAGAAAUUAUUAGAGUGCAGUAAAGAAGCAAAACUGAAACAAGAACAAGAAAAUCCAGAAAUCCUUAAUAAAUCUUGCAAAAUCGAAUUGCAUUCGAUCAAAGCAGCCAACUCACCACCGUCAACGCUAACCAACCCAACCACCGACAACAACGAUCUCAACGAGGAUCGUAAUAUAAACAUAACCAACAACAGCAACAACAACAACAGUAACAAUACAAAUAAUUUAUGUUCCUCCAUUAAACGCGAAAAAACGUGUGCAACAAUUAACGCAAAUCCCUCUAAUACCAUAACCACUACCUCAGGCAACAACAAUUGCGCCGCCACACCCCCAUUAGAUAAUAACACCACCAAAUUGAUCGACGCUAAUAAAACGAUCGUACGUGAAAAUUCACUUUCUCCAUUGCGUCAGAAUUUACAAUCGAAUUAUUUAAACGGCAGCGACAAUAAAACCAUCAACAACAACAACAACAAUAAUAAUAACACUAGUGUCUCUAGCAAUAAGAAUUUGCUCUUGGCGAAAUCGCUCGAAGAGAAACGCCCCAAGUCGGUUACCGCAUCGGUAUUUCGUCCGGCUACAUUGGCCGAUUUGAGCGGUACACAUACAACAACGGCUACAACAGCAACAACAAGCGCGUCAUCGCCGCCACUACAAACGCCCGUACCAUCGACCACGAGCACUUCGUCGGUAUUCGUGAGUGCAGCAAAUGCACCGUCGUUGCCGACGUUAAACGCCGCUCCGCGCGCCCAAUCGGUGACGGCUUCCGUAUUUACGCCGAUUUCGCAGUUGUGCAAUCGCCAACAACAACACAUUGCUAAAACCAAUUCCAUUAUAACACCAACAACGGUGACAGCAGCAAUACUCUGUGGCCAACAACAACAGCAACAACAACAUCAUCAGAACCACCAGAACUCACAGACACCGACACAGCAGCAGACACAAGAUAUGAAUAAGUUUUUGUCGUUCGGGGAUGAGACAAAUGAGUUAACAAUGCUCAAAGAGGAACCCGAUGACUUGGCACACCUGGCUCCAGCUGCUGUUGAUGCUUGCAUGCGCCUGGACGACACCGCACCAUUUUGUGGUGAAAUGCUAUUGGGUCUGUCCUCUUACUCCUAUGGCUUCCUGCCCGAUGACUACAGUUCACUCGAUUCCAAUACGAGCUCCUCAUCGCCAGAUACACCAAAUCCAAAUAGCAAUAACAGCGCUGUCAAUAACAGCAGUAACAGUCAUAACAGUAAUAGCAUUAACAGUGGCAAUAACAAAAUCGGUUUGAGUAGUCCAACACAUCAACAGAAUUGCAAUAAUAAUUUAAAUGCUAGCACAUUGCAUAACAACAACAACAGCAAUAGCAAUAAUUUAUGCAACAAACCAGUUGUACGCAUCGAUCCAUUCAUAAACUAUCGGGAGGAAUCGAAUGACACCAACUGUUCGCAGCAUUUACUCUCGCCCAGUGUGGCAUCGAAGAGUCCUGAAGCGAGCAGCUUACCAUCGCUCUGCAGUCCCAACUCCCUUAGUCAGGAUGAUGGAUUUGCAUUUAUGACAAUGAGCGUUGACGAAGACAUCGACAUGAGUAUGCGUGCGCCAUAUAUUCCAAUGAACGAGCAAGAGGACUUGCCACUCCUCACUGCCGACGAUCUGAUGUGGUGCGCCAGCAAUGGCCUCGGCAGCGAAGAGCUAAACAAUCAAAAGGAUGUCGACGCCACGUUGCAACAAUUGCAGUUGCAACAACAACACACUAGCGAAAGCAAUCAUAACCUCUUGAAUGGCUAUCAUGAUGCUCAACACAUCAGUCACUCACAUUUCAAUUCAUUGUGCUCUUCACCUGCAUCGACCGUUUCAUCGCUAUCACCGUCACCGGUGAAUCAUCAUCAACAACAACAACAACAGCAACAGCAGCAGCAUCAACAACAACUGCAAGAUACAAGUUGCGUUUAUAGUACGGACACUAGUGAAUUGGCGGCGCUGCUUUGCGGCUCUGGCAAUGGCACUCUGUCAAUUCUGAAUAAUAAUUGUGGUGCUGGUAGUAGUGGUGGUAUGGAGGAUAGUGAUGUUAGUUUGCAACAACAACAGCAGCAGCAGCAGCAACAACAGCAAACACAUUGUGCUGAUUUUCGUUUGCAGUUGCAACAAGAGUUGGCUGCCGAACAGCAACGGCAGCUGCAACUGCUCGGCUUGAACAUCGAUUGCAAGAAGGAGAGUUCGCUGUCGCCCAGCUUAUGUGAUUCGCUGGAGGACACCUUCGAUAAUGUUUAUAGUAAGGAUUCUGGGAAUCUUGACUGCUGGAAUGAGUUGCUGCAAAUCAAUGUCAGCGACACUUCAUCUUCGGCAUCGCCUUCGCCCGUGACAUCACUGAAUUCACCAACUCAGCAGCAACAACAACAACACAAGCUGGACGAUUGCAAAACGCACUUGCGUCUGGAGCAGCAUCUGUCGUCGCCGCAGCAGCAGCAGCACAAUAUCAUUUUGAAUGCCGUGCCAUUGAUAACAAUACAAGACACUAAGAAUAUUUUGUUGCAACAGCAGCAACAACAACAACAACUCAAUGUCAGCAAUAAAAUGCUAAUAAAAGAUGAAAUGUUGCCAGCGCAACGUGGCGGUCAUAAAAUCACAACAAUCAAGCUGUUGAAUGCCCAAGCAACAACAACAAUAACACCAGCGCUUGGCACAGCCGGCACUGCACCGGUGCGCAUGAUUGACAUUAAACAGCAGCACGAACAACAAAGGCAACAACAGCAACACCACCAACAACAGCAACAACAACAGUCGCAUAAACGGCACUUGGUGAGCUCCAUGCCCAGCGCACAGCUGGAGAGCAAGCGCAUGAAGAGCGCUGCCAUGGACAUGCAAACUGUGCCACAACUGCUGCAACAGCUGGUAUCGCCGCUGCAGCCGCAACACUUGAAGGAGCAACAACAAAAACUGCAACAACAACAGCAAGCGCGCAAAGCCAACAGCGGCGUGUCUCGCUGGGUCGCCAACGCCGACCUGAAAGCCAACUCAAAUGGCAUGCAACAACAACCACAAUCGAAUUCAGUGCUGAAGAAUUUGCUAAUUAGCGGUUGCGAUGUAAGUGCAGGCUACUGUCUGGUGCCGAUGCGGCCCAAAAAACUAGCGAAGGCAUAAAUUGCGCACGCAUGUGUGGCGACGUGGUGGCAGGGACGUUGUUGGCUGACGCGCCUUGUGGCGUGCGACAGCCAAACGUUGGCCCACUCCAGCGCCGCACAUUGGCGCACAAAAAGCUGUAUUUUAAAAAUACAUUUGCCUAAUCAACUAACCAACACAACCGUUUAUUUGCCGUUGUACAUGGAAACACAAAGCAAUUUACAAAAACCAAAUUGAAAAUUGAUAUUCUUUUUCGCUAAUAUUCGGUUACAGGCUUGUGUCUGGAAUGUCUUCAGACACAAUUAGCGCGUAGUUUACUUUAAAACGUUGCAAAUUGGUUUAUUUAGUUUUAUAAAUUUUGUAGAUGGAUCGAUUUUAUGAUUAAUACGUGUGUAUACACACACACACGCACGCAAACAUUUUUUGUUAAAAUUUUAGAUGUAACGCCGUAAGUUAUGCUAAAAGAAAACUGUAGAUACAGCAAACUAUAGAAAAAAAUAUUCUUUAUAUCUAAUAACUAGUACUAGAACAAAUUAAAAUAUUAUUACAAUAAAAUUAUUGAUUUAAAAUUACGUUAAUGAGUGUAAGCUAGUUAAAUAGUUUAAACUAUAACCUUAGCACUAGUCGAAUAGCUCUAAGCAGCGUGAGAAAUGUGGAGAAACAGACGCUACGAGAUUUGUUAUAGCAAUACACACACGUAUGUAACCCAACAUACACAAACACACACACAUGUGUAUUUAUAUACACACCUAUAUAUAUAUAUACUUUAUAUAUAAAACCAUAUAUCAGAAGAUGCAAUCAAUUCUCCGCUGUUGUUAUUUACACUAAUUUUUAAUUCAGCUUUAAGUUGACCAAAAAUGGAGAAUUUUUUUAGGAUAAAAUUAAAGUUGUUAAAUUUGUUAAAAACGGACACUGUAAAUAAAUAAUUUAGUUACAUAUACAUACAUAAUGAAAUAAGCGCAAGCAAAAAUUGCCAGCUAAAAAAAUAAAAUAUAUAAAAUUAUUUGACUAAAACAAAAAUGAGCGUUCAUGUAAUAAGUGGUUAUUGUAUGCGUAGAAGAAGAAGAAAACAAACGUAAAAAUAUUAAAUUAAUCAAUAAUUUGCAGCAACUCAGCAUAGAAGACGCAAUGAAGCGCCAGUGUCAAAUGCCUUUGCGCACUGUUUGUGGGCUGAAAUUGAAGGCGUAACGCUGUCUUUAUAAGACUCACUAAAUUCGAAAUUUGAGUUAGUAUGCCGUACAGUUAGCUAAUCUAGCGCACACAUACCAAAAAACAAAAACAAGCAGCUAAUAUUAUGGUACUAUAGCUUGUUCGCAUUGACUCAGUUACAUAUGUAACAUAAAUGCACACACACACACGCAUACACAUACAUAUGUAUUUUUAAAUAGGGUUAAAUUAUAUAGACGUGUUUAUGCACAAACUGUAGCGACUUUAAUUUUCUACUGUGAUAGAAUUUUCCUUUUAUUUGUGUAGCAGCACGCACACGCACAAAUACAUAUACUAUACAGAAGACAGAGAGCCAACAUUAGCAAGUCAAUUUGUUGUAUUUUUCGCUUAUUUCCAGCCUUUCAUGCGUGGAUUUAUUUAAUAUUAUUUUAGCAAUAACACUUUUGUGGUGAAAGGGGCGUGAUUAAACACUGCUACUUGCUUGAUAUUUAACGUACACAAUGAGUUUACAGCUUUUUUGUUGUUUUUGGUGCGCCACAAAACAGUAGAAGCAAAUUUGGUUUGGCACAAUUCAAGAUUUUUCUAGAAAGCUGUGCAACAUAAAGCAGUUUAUAUUUAUUUGUAAGUUUAAUUAAGCAAUUUUGGAGUUAGAAGUGAGCCUUUGAGGUUAGAUAUUAGCUUUUGAGGUUAAGAAUUAAAUUUUGAGUUUAGAAUGAGUUUUCAGCCUAAAAUGAGCGCUUGAGAUGAGAAAUGAGCUUUUGAGGUUAAAAUGAACUUUUCAGGUUAGAAAUGAGCACUUGAGGUUUAAAGCGAAUACAUGAAGUUAGAAAUGAGCACUUGAGAUUAAAACGAACUUUUGAAAUUAGAAAUAAGCCUAAAUUGAGCAUUUGAACUUAGAAUAAACUUUUGGAAGUGAGCUAAGAAUGAGUUUUUGAGGUUUGAAAAGCGAUUUAAGGUUCGAAAUGCACUAUUAAGGUUAGAAAAGAGCCUUUAAGGUUAGAAAAAAGCUUUUGAGGUUCGAAAUGAGCUCUUGAGGUUAGAUAUGAACUUUGGAGGGUAUAUUAUGCUCUUGAGCUUAGAAUGAACUUUUGAGCCUAGAAUGAGCUUUUGGUGUCAAAAAUGAUUCUUUAAGUUAAAACAAGCUUUAGAGGUUUGAAAUCAUCUCUUGAGGUUAGAUAUGAGUUUUUCAGGUUAAAUUGAGCUCUUGAGCUUAGGAUGAACUAUUGGGCUUAGAAAGAGCUUUUAGACUUAGAAAGAAUGUUUGGUGUUAGAAAUUAGGUUUUGAGGUUAGGAAUGAGCCCAGAAAAAGUUUUGGAAGAAAACACGAACUUUUGAGGUUAGAAACGAAUGAAUAACCACGUGAUAUUUAUAAUUUGAAAUUAUUUUUAUUAUUUGCAAAAAAAAACAUAAAUAAAGCUCUUGUGUCCACCAAAGUAGUUUUUAAGUCCUUGUUUUCGCCAAAGGCAAAGUAAGACCAUGCGUGUUGCCAUCUUUUCUAAGUUUGUGCACAUAAAUAAGGCUUUCGUACUUUUAUUUCAGUUUUCCUUUUUUGACCAUAAUUCUGUUGACUAUAAACAAAAUAUUAGUAACUUUAGAAGCAAUACGAAAAUAUAUUAAAAUAGUAAAAGAGUUAGGUGUCGAUGAACAUUGCGGUAAAUAUAGCGAAAAAUUGUGUUUAAAGUAGAAAAAUGUAAAAAAUUGGAGCGCUGAUGGUACAAAAACAACAAGAAAUAAAAUAACGAAAGUAAAAUUUGUAACAGCCACACAAGCAUUAGCAAGUAAUGCGUUGACUUUGAUAAAUUAGAAGAACAACAAAAAAUAAAAAAAAACAUAAUUUUACUUAUGAAUAGCGGAAUUACGUAAGAAAUUUGAAAAAAAAACUUUGAAGUACUAAGCAAAUGAAAUAGAAUAUUAAUGUAAUGUGUUAAGUCAACGGUAAAAACGAGCUGUAAGACGUUUGGAACGACUGAGAUGGCGGCACAAACUAACUGUUUGCAAAAGGAAGGUGCUAAACGGACUUUGGCAGCAUAAAUUAGAAUAGUUAUAAAAAGCAUAAGCGAAAUCACUGAAUUUGCUAGUUUAUUAAAAGCCACUAAUAGUUGACAGACACAGUUGCAUAGUAAAAAAGAUCGUAAUAGUUGUGACAAUAGUAAGGAAAAUAAAGAAAAUAACUGCAAUAGCAACAAAACAACCUACAACAUGAAGCUUUAAACAGAAAAAAAUUAACUAAAACGAGAAAAUAUUGAAACUAAGAACAGUAAAAAAUGCAACCACACAAUAAACUUUUAAAAAUUAAACUUCAAAACAAAAAUUACAAAAUAGUGAAACAACAAAACUAAACAAUAAAAAAUCAAAACUCAACAAUAAAAAAUGAGACUACAAAACUAAAAACAGUAAGCAAUUAAACUACCAAAUAUUCAACAAACUCCAUUGCAAAAAACUAAAUAUUUUAAUUUUUUUUUUUUUUUUUUGCAAUUUUCAAAAAUUUAUUUAUGUUCAAAAAUGCACAAUUUACAUACAAAUUGUAAUAUUUAUCAUUAUUUAGCCAAAACUAGCGCCGCACUCUCUUCAGCGUGCUUUAUAAAUAUAAAACAGGUGACAUCACAUACUCAAAACUCUUUGCAUCUUUACAUACACACGCUGUUUAUUCAUUUAAACCCACUUAUUUACUUAGUUACAUAAGUUGUAAGUUGUUAAGUUCUUUAGUUUUAAGUUUAUUUUUGAUAAUCUUUACUACAUUGUCUUGUCUAAAUAUACGCUCAAACUACUUGAAGUUCUUAUGCAUAUGCACACAUACUGUACUAUUUUUUUUCCUUUUUUAGUUGCUAAGCAAUAUUUUCCCUUUAAAUUAUCUAUUAUACAUAUAUUAUAUAAGACACCACUUAUGCUUUCGAUUUAAUUUAGUUUUAGUUUACAAAAGCGCAG